GACAGAGGCCACAAGCGUUAGGCGGAAUCACUGGGCAUAAAGCGUGUGUAGGCGGGCCGUUAAGUGCUUUGUGAAAUCCCAUGGCUCAACCAUGGAAUUGCUUGGCAUACUGGCGGUCUUGAGCCACCUAGGGGCAACUGGAACAAACGGUGGAGCGGUGAAAUGCGUAGAUAUCGUUUGGAACGCCAAAGGUGAAAACAGGUUGCUGGGGGUGUGCUGACGCUGAGACACGAAAGCCAGGGGAGCAAACGGG
rnacentral:rRNA from 1 species